GUGGAUUAGAUACCCUGGUAGUCCACGCUGUAAACGAUGGAUACUAGGUGUGGGGGGUCUGACCCCCUCCGUGCCGCAGUUAACACAAUAAGUAUCCCACCUGGGGAGUACGAUCGCAAGGUUGAAACUCAAAGGAAUUGACGGGGGCCCGCACAAGCGGUGGAGUAUGUGGUUUAAUUCGAAGCAACGCGAAGAACCUUACCAGGGCUUGACAUCCCGGUGACCGGCCUAGAGAUAGGCCUUCCCUUCGGGGCACCGGUGACAGGUGGUGCACGGUUGUCGUCAACU
rnacentral:rRNA from 1 species